CCUCGUCUCCCUCCAGCGCUGCCCCACGCCGGCCUCGACCCUCACCUUCCUCCGCACCGCCGGUGACUGCAGCCACCGACGGGAAGCCAAGCAGAUGAGCACGCCCCCCUGCCCGUUCUCCCCUCCCCCUCUCCUUACUCCUUCUCACUUCUUCUCUCAGCAGGAGCCCGCCAUGGACGCCCCUGCCUCGCACUACCCACCGGAUCUGGUUCUCCAUGUCGAGAUCCGCCCGUUCCCGACCUCCACUCGCCCGCUCGCCAACCGCCAGAACCCCAAGUCCCGCCAGCCGCCAGGAGCUCGGGUUCAAGCCGCGACGACUGCCUCCUCCGCACAGCACCCCGUGCGCCCAAAUCCUCCUCCUCCUCUGGUUUUAUGAGACCUUGAGCAUUGUUUUCGCCACCAUUCCCUUCUUUUAUCGAUUCGUGUAUGCCUCAUCCUCCUGACCUCUGCUUGCAGAUUAGUUUGGUCGCUUGUUGAAAUCAUUAGUUUGUACGUACUAGUAAGCAUGCAAGUGCAACACGCACGUCUCGACUAAUAUUAUAUUCUUUGGCAAGAAUCUAUUCAAGUUUGUUCUCACAAGGUGGUUAUACACAUCCUUAUGCGUGAAAAGAUAAAACAAAAGCAUUAUGCUUAAACACACAAACAAAAGCACAUAUCACUUUUAGUUCCAUUCUUGUUGAAAAAGGGGUGUAUAUUCACGCUAAAUUGCUCCAAUCUCUCCAUCCGAGCAACACACCAAUUUUUUUUAUUCAAAGCCUUGGGCAUAGCUACGAUAUUAGCACCAGCCUUGGAUUUGAAUAUCUUUAGCGAUUCAAUCAUAUCUUGUCCAACUUUGGCAUGCAGGGUUUCAGCUAUAAACUGGGGAAUCAACACAUGUUCUCUUUAAUUU
rnacentral:lncRNA from 1 species